rnacentral:rRNA from 1 species
GGCCAGACUCCUACGGGAGGCAGCAGUGAGGAAUAUUGGUCAAUGGCCGGAAGGCUGAACCAGCCAAGCCGCGUGAGGGAGGAAGGCGCAGAGCGUCGCAGACCUCUUUUGCCGGGGGACAAAAGGCCGGACUCGUCCGGUCCUGAGGGUACCCGGAGAAAAAGCAUCGGCUAACUCCGUGCCAGCAGCCGCGGUAAUACGGAGGAUGCGAGCGUUAUCCGGAUUCAUUGGGUUUAAAGGGUGCGCAGGCGGGCCUUUAAGCGGGGGGUGAAAUCGCGGGGCUCACCCCCGCUCCGCCGUUGAAACUGUGUCCCUUGAGUGCGCGAAGGGUAGGCGGAAUGCGUGGUGUAGCGGUGAAAUGCGUAGAUAUUAGGAGGAACACCAGUGGCGAAGGCGGCUUACUGGACUGUAACUGACGUUGAGGCUCGAAAGCGUGGGGAGCAAACAGGAUUAGAUACCCGAGUAAU